rnacentral:rRNA from 1 species
GUGAAUCAUCGAAUCUUUGAACGCAACUUGCGCUCCUUGGUAUUCCAUGGAGCAUGCCCGUUUAGUGUCACGAUAACCCUCAUUAUGUGAUUUUAAUGAUCACAUGAAUGGAUUUGGGUGUUGCCGUAACCGGCUCACCUUGAAAUGAAUUAAGCUUUUGCGCCCCAUUAGCGUGCUCGGUGUGAUAAUUAUCAUUCGCCUUAGGCCGCUUCCAGUGACGCUGCUUCUAAUGGUCCCUUGUGGACAACAAAUCUAAAGCAUUGGCCUCAAAUCGGGUAGGACUACCCGCUGAACUUAAGCAUAUCAAUAAGGCGAGG